ensembl:snRNA U2 U2 spliceosomal RNA
AUCGCUUCUCUGCCUUUUGGCAAAGAUCAAGUGAAAAUGGCAUUAAUACAAAUUUUGUUUCCAGUGAAAAUGGUAACCUUUUAUUUUCAUUUGAUUAACUGAGCUAUUUCAAUCACUGUUUAAACAACCCCAC